GACAGCAGCCGCCGCGGUAAUACGAAGGGGGCUAGCGUUGUUCGGAUUUACUGGGCGUAAAGGGCGCGUAGGCGGACUGAUAAGUCAGGGGUGAAAUCCCAAGGCUCAACCUUGAAACUGCCUUUGAUACUGUUUGUCUUGAGUUCGAGAGAGGUAAGUGGAACUGCGAGUGUAGAGGUGAAAUUCGUAGAUAUUCGCAAGAACACCAGUGGCGAAGGCGGCUUACUGGCUCGAAACUGACGCUGAGGCGCGAAAGCGUGGGGAGCAAACAGGAUUAGAUACCCCUGUAGUCCCUGUCUCUUAUAA
rnacentral:rRNA from 1 species